GUCUACGGCCACACCACCCUGAACGCACCCAAUCUCAUCUGAUCUCGGAAGCUAAGCAGGGUCGGGCCUGGUUAGUACUUGGAUGGGAGAAUCCAUGGCCAAUACACA
rnacentral:rRNA from 1 species